GUGACAAUCAGAGAUUCAGCCUUCUAGAUUCUUCGAAGAGCCUUCACACCGCAACCACUGAAACAUCAAGAAUCCGAGAUGCUGAUUCAUUUAAAGCUGGAGGACAAACAGCUGACGAGGCGUCUGCAACAUCCCUGAAAAGGAGUACAGGAAAUAGUGGGGACUGAGCAAGUUUGGAGAAGGCCGCCCCCUGCCGCCACUGAGGACAACUACACUAAUACAGACAAGAGCGCCUCAAACAGUUACACACUCAAGAGUUGGGGUUUUUGCCGUAUGCAACUAGCUACCAUCUCCAAUGCUUGUGCAAAACAGAAAAACUGGUAAGUCAGGAGCCGGACGAAAAAGGGGGGUGAACGGUGUGCCGAGAGCCGGAGAGACCCGGGACGAUGAAAAGAGAAAGGAGGAUCGGAUCACCUCGCCCACAGAGCCUCUCACCUCGACACACUGAGGUCAGAAAAAUCACACAUGUUGCUUAAAGUUCAAGUCACCAUAUUUUUUUUUUUUUUUUUGUCUUAGAAGUGGUUGUCUUAUACAUAGUCCUUUGUUUGUCAGUUCCUCAGUGGCACUUUAUAAAUACAUUUUUGACCAUUUUUGAAAAUUUCAAGCUCCUUUGGUUUUUGGCUGACCAACUAAGUCCGUGUCAUUUGAUUUCUCCACACAAAAGUCUUAAAAUUGGGACAUCCCGGGAAAGAAGUGCUACUCUCACAACAGAGCCUCUUUAGGUAGCACACGCUGUAUUGAAUCAUUCUUGUUUUUAUUGAUCAAGCAGUUUCUUACCCAGUGCAUUUCAGUCAGCUCUUCCCUUUACCUCCUCCGUUGUUGGCGUAGAAAUCUGGGCAGUCAGGAUGUUGGGUAGCUGCUGAGUGUGUGUGCGUUUUGUGUGCAUGUGUGUGCUUUGAUAGACCGUCGCAGCGGCGACACAAGGUUGGAAGUGGCAAGAGCCAGGCAAAGACUGCUACUGGUGUUUGGAUUAGCAGUCAAAACACUGUCUUCCAGAGUUGGUUGUGUGCUUUUUCUUUUUUUCUGUUUUUUACAAAGGAUCCAACUUGGGCGGGGGCUCCAGGGUUUCAUCUAAUAGCUUAAUUUUGCAGUAGCUAUAUAAGCCAAAUGGAAGCAGAAAUCAUGAGCGCUUUCUUAAAUGUAUGCUGGGGCAGAUAAAAAUGUGUGCAUGUUGCAAAGGGCUAUAGGCUGGGGAUGCUCUGGUUUGUAAAGUUCAUCAUGGUUCAGUAAAGGAAAAGUUCAGAGAAGCGAUAAUCCUUCCCUUCCCCCAUCAGUCUUUUUCUUAAAUACAACUCCAGCUACAUUAAAGAACACAAGAACAUUCUAGGCUUGCCUGGAUUUGCCCCAGAUUUCACGGAUAUGUAUGCUUUGCUUGAAGGUACAGUGUAAACUUGGCAAACCAUCCUUGCAUUAAUUUUCUUCAGAGGUGUUCAUUUGGCUUGCAGUCAUCAGUGUUGAUGCUUCCUCUUGAUUCUGUAUAUUUAAUAUAGAACUACAAUAAACUGAACUCUAGAGAUGGUUUUAUUUUAACUAUCCUAUUCUGAAAAGUUCUCAACAAAAUGGACACCCAACAUUGUGGUUUUUAAAGAAUUACCUAUCGGUGUAAAUUCUUGAAGGCAACAUAAAAAUGUUUUUCCCCUCUUUCCUUCCAACAGGGGGGAUCGACACAUUGCCAAUAUGGCCAGCUUUCAAGCAAUCACCCCUUGAAGCUUCUCUGUGGUGAAGCUGAGGGAUCCCCCACAUUGCACUGUGGGAAACGCCAACCUCAGCUCCGGGCCACCCCUCGCAUAAAUUCAGGAGACCAGAGAGAGAGAGCCACACAAUCCCGAGCCUGAAGCUCCUCAUUUGGUUCCACCCAUUCAAGCACAUAUAUUCUCAUCCUGAGGCUUGCUUUGCAACGACGCUACAGCCACAUAAAUACUCGGAACCACUUCACAGUACCCCAUCUUUUAUUCAGGACCUCUUUGCCUCCCCUGCUGACAAAUAAAUUUAAUAAAACUUCCAUUUUAACAAAUUACCGGCUUCUGCUGCCUGCAACUCUC